rnacentral:rRNA from 1 species
UACGGUGGGGGCAAGCGUUGUUCGGAAUUACUGGGCGUAAAGGGCUCGUAGGCGGCCAACUAAGUCGGACGUGAAAUCCCUCGGCUUAACCGGGGAACUGCGUCCGAUACUGGAUGGCUUGAGUUCGGGAGAGGGAUGCGGAAUUCCAGGUGUAGCGGUGAAAUGCGUAGAUAUCUGGAGGAACACCGGUGGCGAAGGCGGCAUCCUGGACCGAUACUGACGCUGAUGAGCGAAAGCCAGGGGAGCAAACGGG